rnacentral:rRNA from 1 species
AGUUUGAUCAUGGCUCAGGACGAACGCUGGCGGCGUGCCUAACACAUGCAAGUCGAACGGAACCUAGAUGUUAGACUGUAGAUGUUAGAAAUUAGAACAAGGACAUGGUUGGAACUUUAAGAUUGAGCCUAAGGCUUGAGGGACCAUUGUCUUAGAUUUAAAAUCUAAAAUCUAAUGUCUAGAGUCUAACAUCUAGGCUUAGUGGCGGACGGGCGAGUAACGCGUGAGCAACCUGCCCUUAAGAGGGGGACAACGACUGGAAACGGUCGCUAAUACCGCAUGACAUAUCGGGAUGGCAUCAUCUUGAUAUCAAAGGAGAAAUCCGCUUAAGGAUGGGCUCGCGUCCGAUUAGCUAGUUGGUGGGGUAACGGCCCACCAAGGCGACGAUCGGUAGCCGAACUGAGAGGUUGAUCGGCCGCAUUGGGACUGAGACACGGCCCAGACUCCUACGGGAGGCAGUAGUGGGGGAUAUUGCACAAUGGAGGAAACUCUGAUGCAGCAACGCCGCGUGAGGGUAAGAAGGUCUUCGGAUUGUAAACCUUAGUAGUCAGGGACGAAAAAAAUGACGGUACCUGAAGAGUAAGCUCCGGCUAACUACGUGCCAGCAGUCGCGGUAAUACGUAGGGAGCGAGCGUUGUCCGGAUUUACUGGGUGUAAAGGGUGCGUAGGCGGGACUGCA